CAGGCAACUGAGCCAAAUAAACCUCGUCUCCUUUAAUUUGUAGGUUUCUUGUAUUGUGCCUCGGUGACAAGACAGCUGACUAAGAAAAUGGGGAAGAAAUGAGGCUGGAGAGGACUGGAUCUCCUCCAUAAGACAGACGUCACAGAUUUCUGUCCCUUACAAGGAUGAAGACACUAGCAAUGUGCCAAACAAAUUGAAUUUCUGGUCAGCAAUAACACUACUUCCAGAC
rnacentral:lncRNA from 1 species